UCCUGGAGGACUUACAAAUCAGCCCUUCAAGAUAUUGUCUUUGCCACAGAGGUGCUCGAUGCAAACAGGGACAGAUAUAUUGGAACAUCCUUGUCCUUGACAUUGGGAAUGGACCAGUCUGAUCUAAAUGUUGUGGCUCUGCUUUAGGAUUCAGACCUUCAGCAAGUGUCUGGCAGCAUUUUCCAGCUGUUUAGCAAUGACACUUCCCUUCCCGGGGUAGGACUGUGUAUAUUGGAUAUGUGAACACAGAGACCAGGUAAGGUGUCUUGGACAAUUAUAAUAUAAUUCAUCUAAUCCAAUUUUAUCUAUCUAAAACUGAGAUGCCCAGUAAGUUUUCAAGCAUGAGUUAUGGCCAGGAGGUGAAUAAUGUCUAGAAGACAGGCCAGGGAACAACACUUUCUUAAUUUACUGGGACAGUUUCAUAUUCCACUUUAUGUCACCGGAUUUUUUUUUUUGUUCAUAUUUUUCAUUUAAUAAAGAAGUUUGUGUGCCUUGAGGUUUUCGGUCUUUCUGCAAUUCACAACGUACUGCUGUAAUAUGACACAAAGAGCUAUGUGCUUAUUCUCAUGCAAGAGAGAAAAACUGUGUGUUAUAAAACAACCCAAUGACUGGAAUUUAAGACAAAAUGAAGGACAAGGGCUGAUUAUUCUGCAUUUUUCUUGGUUGGAUUUCUUGCCCCUUCCUUUGGAGAUAUUAUCCUGAUUAUUGUAAAAGGGCUUGACACAUUGAUAGGGAGUCUAGCCCAGCCUAGGAAUUCCUGUGUUUCUUAAGAAAAAGCACUGUAGCCAGAGAUACAGUGCCUAAAGUCCUUAAUGAUCUUGUCCUCUGGUAUCAUAGAAGGCAAAUGAAGAAUAUUGAACCCUAAGUUUGCCUCUUUUUUUUUGAAUAUGAAAACAUUCACUGUUUCUCCCGUUUUUCCUUCUACACUCUUUCCAAUUUGUGUAAGACCAAGACCUUAAGCAUAAGUGAGCAAUGGCCAAGAAUGAACAUCGUCCAUCCUUCUGUUCCUGAAAAACAAGGAAGACAUCAGAAAAAAAAUUACGCACUCUUCAAGCAGCAGCCUUGUAAACAGCAUUAUCUCCACUGUCAGAGCAGACCACAUGCCCAUAAAAGGAUGUGUUAUCAAAAAUAUCUAUAAUGGUGACCUUAAAAAAGUACAAGAAGUGCUAAUGAAUUUCUUGUUAUUUUAGAAAGGGACUUUCUUCUCCGUUGUUGCAGAGAGCUUCCUGAAGCAAAAACAAAUGAAGUUCUUCUCUCUUUCUUUUUAAAUACAAGCCUGGUGUUGGAGCUGGACGUUGCUGGGAUGGAGCCUUCCAAGGACAGAGCCUGGCUGUCCCACUGUGGGGAGCUCAUGGCAAUGCUUGUGAUGAUGCAUCAGUACCAGCAUCUCUGCUCCGACAGUGUCACUUUUGGAGAAUGUGAGAAGCUGAGGCUUGGCCGUGCACAGCUGUUUGGGACACCGGACCUACCAGAGCCCAAACCCAAUUGUGUUACAACAGGGGCUGUUACAUUUUCUCUCCUGAAACCCAAAGAAGAAUGCUUUCUUCUGAGUUUCUCCUGCUAAAAAUUAUCCCAUACAUUAACACUGCCUGGCACUGCUGGCCACACUGACCCACAGUGAGAAGAGGGUGCUGGUUUUGUGCUGAGCUGAAGGACGUUAUAUCCUUGGUGCUUCUCCAGUUUCACCGUAUUUUCUUGUCUUCCCUCCCUGAUAAAUUGAUUUGGCAAAGCUCUAGGGCAGUGCCCAUUGGAGGCAUGACAGAAAGACUCGAAGUCUGGACUCUGUCACACUGCAAAACUCGAUAAAAUGGAAAAAAGGAGGAAGCCAUGCAUAACAAUGUCUGGGCCAAGACCUGGGAAAGAAACCAUUUGUUUUAACUUCUUCAUGCAAAUCUUUAAUUUCUCAUUCUUCUUAAUUCAACUCAAGAGAGAUGAUAGAGAUUUGAUCAUCUUGGUGGACAUGGUUUGAACAGUCAUAGAAUCAUUUCAGUUGGAAGAGACCCUCAGGACCAUUGACUCCAGUCAAGCAGUGAUCAAAACAGACAGGACUUCAGAACGUCUGAACUGUGAUAAUCAGAGGUAUAAAUAGAGAAGAGAGUGUCCGUGUGUCCAGAAGAGAUAUUAAUAUAAAAGAUCCUACAUUAUGCUUUUCCAUCUGAUUUCUUGCCUGCAGUAAACAUUGCUGUACCCUUUGAAGAACAAGACCAUCCCGCACAUGGUGGGAUUCUGCUGGAUGAAUGUGGUGUCCAGGAAAGUUUGCACAUUUCUUGUGCAGUUGGGAAAUGCAACCAGAUUUGAAGCUGACUGCACUCACUGUCUGAGCUUGGUGUCUUGGGUGAGGACCCUUUUUCAGCACCAAAUGAUCUCUGGUUAUAAUGAGCUUUGUCCUGGCCUUAGGGAGAAAGUUUGAAGUCAAUUGCCAUAGACAAGUCGGUCCUCUACAACCUGCAAAGUCAACCCCUGGGCAGUUGCAUUGGUUGGAUGGAUGCAGGUGAUGAAAUAGGGUCUGGCCAUGAAGUGUGGACAGUUCAAUUUAUGAGGGUCAAAGGAGAAUUUCCUUGGGGUAAGAAGGCUUCUGUUGAACAGCCUGAUAAACAGGUGCUGCGAGUUUUUUUUGAGAAACAGCUACAAGGCAUGGAAUAUAAACUGUUUCAUGGAAAUAACUCCAGCACUUCAUUAGCAUGUUUUAGACUUAGCUUUACCCUGUCUGGGUCACCUAGAUCAGUACAAGAAAGACAUGGACCUGUUGGAGAGGGGCCAGAGGAGCCACAGAAAUUAUCCGAGGCUGGAACAGCUCUGCUGGGAGGACAGGCUGAGAGAGUUGGGGUGUUCAGCUGGAGAAGAGAAGCUCCGGGGAGACCUUAGUGUGGCCUUUCAGUGCUUAAAAGGGGCUGAUGAGAAAGAUGGGGACCGACUUUUUAUCAGGGCCUGUUGUGACAAGACAAGGAGUGAUGGUUUUAAACUAAAGGAGUGGAGAUUCAGACCAGACAUGAGGAAAACAUUUUUGACACUAAAAGUGGUAAAAGCCUGGCCCAGGUUCGCCAGAGAGGUGGUGGAUGAGCCAUCUCUGGAGACAUACCAGGCCAGGCUGGAUGGAGCUCUGAGCAACCUGAGCUGGUGAAGAUGUCCCUGCUCAUUGCAGGGGUUGGGCUGGAUGAGCUUUGGAGGUCCCUUCCAACCCAAACUAUUCUAUGAUAUCGUGAUUCUAUGACCUUCCUCCUUCCUUCUCCCAAGCUCCAGAGAGGCACUGACCAUUGGAGGCCCUGAACAGCACAAGUGUUUGGACUGGUAUGGAUAUCUUGGACCUUUCAAUACAACAGAUUUACCAGCUGCAGUUCAUUGCCUUCACCUUCAAUAGCAUUCACCUCGAAGAGCAAGGCUCUCCCCAAAACCUGCUGCUCUCCAGUCCUUAUAACCUGUGUACAACACUGGAACACCCAGAGAGAGGGUGGGGUUGGUGACAGGGUCUGGACCCAGGACUUUUCACAAACAUACUGGCUUAUCUGUGUGAAGGGGUCCAAUCUGAUGGUAGGGAGAUUAUUUUUGCCAAGGUCCCUAAGCACUGCAAGACAGUCAUAGACACUGAGGCAAUGCCAGGCAAUUUUUGCUGCUAGUUACAGCAGAUGGAGUUUGUUUGCGACAGUCGAAAGCCGGGUGGGAAGGUUUGGUGGGUAUUUGCAUGCCAAAUGUGACAUCUGCAGCAUGUGGGCAUUCAGCUCAUUUGUAGCUGGUGUGGAGAAGCAGACACUUCUGCGGUGCAGUUCAUCCCACCCAAAUUCAGACACCUAAAAUAUGUCAUCUCUCCAUUGACUGCAACGGCAGACGAGUGACUAGCUCAAAAUUUCAUGUCUGCCCCAACAUCUAAUAUUAAGUGAGAAAAGAUGAAAAGCACUUCAUUGAUCCCAAAGUGUUUUCUUGUCUAUAAGUCAGGUUUCCCACUAGAGAAAGAGGUGGAGUUCUCUGAAAUCCUCAACAGGCCCAUUGGGUUACUCAGAGCUUGGCACAUCCAGCAUUCACCAUCUCAUGGUCAUUUGCUAAUCCAAACAUCCUCAUCCCAACCCCACACCUUCUCCAGUGGACAAAUAGUGCUCGGUCCACAAAAAUGGUACUAGGGUAGCAAAAUGGGUCACAGAAAUCUAACCUGAUGGAAAGGAUACCUGUCAGUUGGCUAUUUAUUUAAUAUUUCACCCCAGCCCCUCGAAUGCUGGUGUCACUGCAGUAUUUGAGAACAGCUGAAUGUGCAUUAGAAAAACACCCUACAAAGAAAAACCUAGAUCAGCCAAAAGAAAUUAUGAUUUGAAAAUUAUGUCCCAAAUCAUGAGGUCUGACUGAAGUAGCGUAACCUCAGCCUAAGUUACUCCAGCAAUAAUUUGAAGGAUUGUUCUUGAUACUGUAGGAUAAGACCUGGGGACUCAUCACAAGAUGAGCCUUAUUAGGAGCAAAAAACAAGGCAGGAACCCUUAUUCUGCAGUGAAUAAAAGGGUCAGCUUUAGUAAUUUAUGCUCAAGGAGGAAAAACUCAUUUUCUAUUUCUUUAGCAAGAACUUUUCAUUUUCUCACUCUCUACUUCCUUCCUGAGGACCACACCAAUUUUCUCACUUAUACACUAACAUUUCUUGGUUAGUGGUUAGAUUUAGAAACCUCCGAACCUUCAAGCUACUCUAGCUGAAGAAUUUAUGUAAAUAUUUCCUACUGCUACUAUAUGCAUGUAGAGGUUCUUUUCGUGUUUCUGUAAGGAAUCCUCAAAUUCUAUACAGUUCAGAAGCCUUUUUUCACACCCAGGGAAAUAGCACUAGAUUAAGAUCACCUAAGAACUGAAAUGCAACCGUUUACAUUUAUUUCUGCGGCAUGGUAUUUAGCUUCAGUUCUUGGAACAUCUACAACUGUUUCCUAUGAGGUGGUAAAUUCAGAGCUGACUCAACAAAAUUCAUACAGCCGAGAUUAACUGUGCCUUCACUGACCUAAAGGAAGGCAACUGAACUGUGCUUUCCGAAACAGAAGCAUCUAACCAGGUCAUAAAACUAAAGAAGAAAGCUGCCUUAUGACAUGCAGCAGAAAGAUUUCUAAUGGUGGUCUUCAACCAUGGGAAGUUCACUUGGUAAUAUAAGGGCUGAAUAUGGGAUGGGAAGAGUGUAAUGUAACAGUCUGUGCUUGAAAACUUGCUGUAAGCCAGAUUUGUCUCCUCUGAUUUUAGAUGCCUAUAAUAAAGGGUAUCUAUGUGUAAAUUUAUCUUCUAGAUCACCUUUAUUUUCAACAGAGAAAACUGAAUACUUAGAAUAGAAUCACAGAAUCAUUUCAGUUAGAAGAGACCCUCAGGAUCAUCGAGUUCAACCAUAACCUAAAUCUAGCGCUAAACCAUGUCCCUAAGAACCUCAUCUAAAUGCCUUUUAAACUCCUCCAGGGAUGGUGACUCCACCACUGCCCUGGGCAGCCUGUUCCAAUGCCUGACAACACUUUCUGGGAAUAAUUUUUUCCUAAUAUCCAAUCUAAACCUCCCCUGGUGCAACUUGAGGCCAUUUCCUCUUAUCCUAUCAGUUGUUACUUGGGAGAAGAGACCAACACCCUCUAUGUUACAAGCUCCUUUCAGGUAGUUGUAGACAGUGAUAAGGUCUCCCCUUAGCCAAUUCCCAUGCCUUAUAGGGCAUGUUCUAUCUGACCUACUUAAAACAACUUUUCUAUGACACAGCCAUGUUCUAGUUGAGUCUGCUUGUCUUGACUGACAAUAAAAGGAGUCUAGACAGCCAGCUCAAGUGUUUGUCUCCCAUGUGAGUCUCCAAAGGUGUUAUGACUCCCACCUUUGGUGUCUAGUUUUCAGAUAGGGACGAAAGCCUUCUUGGUUAGACAAAGGCAGAUACUACAUAUUCAAUAUCCCAGAUGAAUAUUAUGUAAAGUUUCUGGCUGGCUUUUAUGGCAACAAUACAAUUGUGUUAUGCAAAACACACAUUUGUUCAUUUAGUCUUAGACCCCAGUACAGUCACAGACCUCUUUAAAACUGAAGGCCAAGCUCUUUCUCUAGCCCAAAGAAGGUAUAAUCGAUACAAAAAUCAUUCAGGCUCGGAGGCUGCCCAGACAUGUGGGUUAGAUGAGAAAUAAGAGCUAAUAAUAACGCAGAAGGACUUUCCCUGAUUCUAAAUUACAGGGCUAGAGCACUGGUUGCGGCAUGCUGGGCUGUGGGUCCAGAAAGUGAGAUGGAAGAGCCUGAUCCUUAACAGACCAUGGUCUCUAGUGCUGGAAGAAAACUUGAAGGCUCAUCUAGUCCAUGGCUAGGCAUGAUCACCUCCACAUAUAUCACUGCUGAAGACUGUUAUCUUGCCCCCUUCUCCAUCAUCAUUCCUCAGACAGUCUCAAGUUAUUCAGUAUUUCCUGUUUGGAAAUGUUUUCUAGACUCCCUUAUCAUUCUUAUUGUUCCUCUGAAGUGUCUUCUGCUAGUCUGUGUUCUUCUUAAUGUGUAGUGCACACAACUGGGCACAGCACCCUACCCAUGGCUUUAUUGUCACAGCAUAAAACAAGGGAUUGCUUUGAGUGUUUUUUACAUUUCAGAAUUAGAUUUACAUUUUUGAUGUGUGACAUUGCCAGUUGGUCUUUUGCAUGUGAGCCCUAGAUCGUUUCCGGAAGAACAUCUAUCUAACCAGUGAUGCCACUACUCCAUUUCACAGGCUGUUUUAAUCUGGUUACAUAUAAUGCUUACACUUAUUCUUUAAAUUGCAUGUUUGUUUGUUAGUUUGUUUUGUCCAGUAUUGAGGUCACUUUGAUCUCCCUUCCUGCCCUCUAGUAUGAGGAUGGUCUCUCCUGGCUUAGCACCUUGUGCAAAUGCAGUGAAUAUUGUCUAUAUUAAUCACCCAGGUAAUUGUAGAAAAUACUGAAUAGCCUAAGACUGACAGCAUAAGCUGGGGAAGACCUUUCAAUACAUCCUUUUCUUCUGACAGCUAAUUGGUGCCACUCAAUAUGCUCUUCCAUCUGACACAGUUUUGAACCAUUUUAAGGGCACUUUCUUUUUAGGGAUUUCCCAAUCAAUUUUAUACUCACCUUAUAAUUCAACUAGGUUAUAUUUCCAUAACUUGACAGAUAGUGUAAAAAUUCUUUCUUAAGUCAAGCAAAGAGAUAGGGUGCCUUGGGUAAGGAGUUCACUACAGAGAGUGUCUUAAGGCUUGUGCACUGUGCAGGAUUAAGUAUAAUUGAUUAAUUAUAACUUGAUGGCAAUAAAAAGGAGAAGGGAAGGAACAGUUAUGAACAUGCAAUAAUAUACUUAUCAGUUUAUUUUAAUGUCUUGAAAUUUUCUACUCGGGCCAGAGGAAUGAUAGUUGCAAAUAAGAAUAUCUAUAGAAAAAAGUUAUCUGUACUAUGCAGCUGUAUUUGCAUGGGGAAGUGUUAAAGAACGAAAUCUAUUAAUAGGCAUAGCUAUGUUAAUGAAGUUGUGGCAGUGCUCACUACAGGGAAAAUAAAUAUAUCCAAAUAGUUUUAAUGUAAACCAGAAGCUCAGCCUUACAAGGAGAGUCAGCAAAGGUCUAGGACUGUUCAGCAUGGAAAGAGGGAGGAUGUAGGGAGGUUAACUGUAUCGUGGAGGUGAGGGAUACCGUGAAUGCAAUCAUUAGCCACCAAAUCCCACAGUAACAGAACUAGGAGACAUUUACUGCAUUCAGCUCUGGGGCCCCCAGCAUAAGAAGGACACAGACCUGUUGGAGAGAGUCCAGAGUAGGUCACGAAGAUGAUCAGAGGGCUGGAGCACCUCUCCUAUGAGGACAGGCUGAGAGAGUUGGGGUUGUUCAGCCUGGAGAAGAGAAACUCCAGGGAGACCUUUUAAUAGCCUUCCAGCCCCUAAAGGAGAGGUACAAGAAAGCUGGAGAGGGACUUUUUACAAGGGCAUGUAGUGACAGGACAAGGGUUGAUGGCUUUAAAUUGAAAGACGGUAGAUUUUGAUUAGAUGUAAGGAAGAAAUUCCUCACCAUGAGGGUGGUGAGACACAGGAACAGGCUGCUCAGAGAAGCCAUGGAUGCUCCGUACCUGGAAAUGUUCAAGGGCAGGUUGGACAGGGCUCUGAGAAACCUGGUCUAGAGGAAGGCGUCCCUGCCCAUGGCAGGGGGGUUAGAACUAGAUGGUCUUUAAGGUCUCCUCCAACCUGAACCAUUCUAUGAUUCUAUGAUUAGUAGGAGAUCAGUUUAAAACAGACAAAAGGGUGAAUUUAUCCCAACACUGAAUACUGGAUCCUCAAGAUUCCCUUUCAGUUUUAUUGUCCUCACAUAUUUAUCACAGAACUUGGCAUCACUGAAAGGAAUAGCUAGUAAGAGUAUAAUGAACUUUGUCCAGGAUGUUGAACAGGGAAGACUGUUCUCAGUCACUAAAUAAGGCAUUUAAAUUUUCUUUUGAAAUUCGGUUUGUAUUUUCAGGAUGAAUUUGUCUCAUCCAGGUGUGGCUGUCUAAAAGGUUUGUGUUUGGUUUAAACUAGUUAUGCUGGUCUAACGAUUAUCUGCAGAUGGGAAGGAGAGAGAGAAGGUCAGAUCAGUGAUUCACCCCAUAGAUGUUGAUGUCCAGAAGAGGAGGUGACUCUCUAGAUGCACUUGUUGACUCUCUCCAUUGACUCAAUUUGACAACUAUGCUGACCAUACAACUUUCUCUUGACUUGAACCUGAAUGCUUGUUGACCUUGCACAUGGUGUAACUAGGGCCUCCCUACACUUCUGCUUUGCUGAUGUAGACAAUGGGAAGGACCAUUGUACAUGGUAUUUCUAAUGGCUUUUCUUGAAAAUAUGGAGUAAAGUCUCUAAGUAAUCUGUAAAGAAAGCCAAGAGUGACCUAUUUAAGUGGAAAACCUAGCUAUUUGAACUUCAGAUGUUCAGUAAGUAAUGCUGUAUCCCAUACUUAAGGACAAAUUCCUGAUACAUUUCCUCCCAAAUAAAAAAAAAAAAUAACAUUAGUUUACAACUGCCAUUACCAUCAUUUCAAGGCUGUAUAAGCAAUACACUGAUUAAAAGUUUAGUUAGAUAUUAGAGCCAGCUUGACACCUGCCAGGCAAACUCCAUAUGAAGUGUUAUUCCCAUGAACAGAGGGCUCAUGUAGGGGUGAUUCACAGCAGAAAAGUUGAAUUAAAGAAAUAAAUCAUUGUUUUUAUUAGUGAGCUACGUGGGUAUUUACCACUGCUUAGAGCUGGAAACAGUUGUAAUACGAUCACAGUGUUGUCCUUUCAUUAAGCUGGCUUAUUUUUGCUUGCAACGUCAUUGAAUUUAUAAAACGAGCAAUGCCCAAGUGAAAAUUUGAUACUGCUAGGUUUUAUUUGAGAUGGUAAUGUAAAGGGGCCAAAUCUCCCAAGUCUCAGGAGAUCUUGAUACAGACCUCUAUGAAUUUCUGUGUCCUCCCCUGCUUCUGAAUGAUUCUGCUUUUUUUCCAUCAGAUAAACCUGCACCAGAUACGCUGUAAAAUCUGCUUAAAGCCUCCGCCACUCAAACCUCCAGACCAAACGAGUUUGUGCACUAAGAGCUUUAAAAGCACUUGCAGGAUUUCAAAAGGCCCUUGUUAAACUCAGACCUAAACAAGGCUGGAGCUGUGUCUGUGUUUUACUCCCUGGAAACUCCAUUUCUGCAUCUUUCUUGGUCUUGUGGCAUUGUAUAAAAAUAAUCUUCAUAAUCUUGUCUGUGGUGGCCUGGGCCAUGUGACAGACUCUUUUCCUUCCUGCUCUCUGAUGAAAGAAGGGACUUUUCUGAGCAGCAAAAGUCUGGUGAACAAUGGAAUAAAAUAAAAAAGCAACACAGACACCAGCACCUUCUGUUCCCCUUAUGCCUUCCUAGAUGCUCAAGAUAGAAUUGUAGAAACAUUUUGGUUGGAAGAGACACUCAGGGUCAUCUAGCCCAACCAUAACCUAACUCUAGCACUAAACCAUGUCCCUAAGAACCUUGUCCAAAUGACUUUUAAACUCCUCCAGGGAUGGUGACUCCACCACUGCCCUGGGCAGCCUGUUCCAAUGCCUGGCAAUCCUUUCUGUGAAUAAUUAAACAGAAAUUAAGAUGCUCCUGUUUCCCUUCAUCACUUCCCAGGUUGCCACUGAGUUUUCACAGCACCUCCCCUCCUUUAUUGCCACACACCUCUGUUGCUAAUAUCUAAUGUUAAUCACCUAAAUUAUAAUGCUAAUUAUAAAUACUGGUUUUGUUCUCAUAAAACCCUGUUUUAUUCUGUGCCUAGAUAACUUUCCCUCUUGCUGGGUCCCUCCAUUCUCAUCCUCCCCUUCUCUGCCUCGCUCUGUUUUGGGUCAGUUUCUUGCAGAAGCAGCACUGUUCUUUCCAGGAAUCGCUCAGCAAGGUGACCUAUUUCACAAAGCUGACCUAACUAACUGCUCUCACAAGCUCUAACCGUUUUUUUUUUAUUUUCCCUGACCUUUAAGAGGUCUAAAUGCCAAGUUACAGGUCUUUCUCAUGCAAACUGUGCUUGUAGGAAUCAGCCACCUGGGGUCACCGUUCCUUCCAGUACAACUGACUGUAGCUAGGAAAUAAACUCACCAUUUCUAAUAAAAAUCUUAGUGGCUUUUAUCCACCUACACUGAGAUUUGCUGCUUGAAAGCAAAUGGCUGUGUGAAAGAGGCAGCGCACCUCAGCUCGCUUGCUGAAAUAAAGGUCAUUUUUUUUGCAGCAAAAGGAAAAAUUCAGCUUGUUGAGAAUCUGUGUCUGCAGUCCAGACUGCUGCCCUCUGCUCAGAGCUUCAGAUCACUAACUGACCAGCAGGAUCUUGUUAAUAGCUGAGAGAGGCAGAUUGAGCUGCAGGACUGCAGAAAAGGUCCCCCAUUUCUGUCUCCAUCAUCCAAAUAGCUAUGUAAUUAAAUAGUUUGAGCAGGCAAGAAAUUGAAGGAGAUGUUGGGGAGUAAAUCCCUGCACCUCCAAAGCACAGACCCCAUGUUUAUUAAGGGAAGUAUAAAUUUUGAUUAAAAGCCUGAGAUUUCUUUCCAGGCAAUGUAACCAAUACUUUUUACCAACCCAGAUGGCUGUGGUUCUGCAUGUGCAGUUGCAUAUCUCCAUAUAUCUUGGAAAAAAAGGUGAGGAAUUGAUAU